GAUGAACGCUGGCGGCGUGCCUAAUACAUGCAAGUCGAGCGAACAGACGAGGAGCUUGCUCCUCUGACGUUAGCGGCGGACGGGUGAGUAACACGUGGAUAACCUACCUAUAAGACUGGGAUAACUUCGGGAAACCGGAGCUAAUACCGGAUAACAUGUUGAACCGCAUGGUUCAACAGUGAAAUACGGUCUUGCUGUCACUUAUAGAUGGAUCCGCGCCGCAUUAGCUAGUUGGUAAGGUAACGGCUUACCAAGGCAACGAUGCGUAGCCGACCUGAGAGGGUGAUCGGCCACACUGGAACUGAGACACGGUCCAGACUCCUACGGGAGGCAGCAGUAGGGAAUCUUCCGCAAUGGGCGAAAGCCUGACGGAGCAACGCCGCGUGAGUGAAGAAGGUCUUCGGAUCGUAAAACUCUGUUAUUAGGGAAGAAUAAAUGUGUAAGUAACUAUGCACGUCUUGACGGUACCUAAUCAGAAAGCCACGGCUAACUACGUG
rnacentral:rRNA from 1 species